rnacentral:rRNA from 1 species
GACGAACGCUGGCGGCGUGCUUAACACAUGCAAGUCGAACGGAAAGGCCCUGCUUUUGUGGGGUGCUCGAGUGGCGAACGGGUGAGUAACACGUGAGUAACCUGCCCUUGACUUUGGGAUAACUUCAGGAAACUGGGGCUAAUACCGGAUAGUAGCUCCUGCUGCAUGGUGGGGGUUGGAAAGUUUCGGCGGUUGGGGAUGGACUCGCGGCUUAUCAGCUUGUUGGUGGGGUAGUGGCUUACCAAGGCUUUGACGGGUAGCCGGCCUGAGAGGGUGACCGGCCACAUUGGGACUGAGAUACGGCCCAGACUCCCACGGGAGGCAGCAGUGGGGAAUAUUGCACAAUGGGCGGAAGCCUGAUGCAGCAACGCCGCGUGCGGGAUGACGGCCUUCGGGUUGUAAACCGCUUUCGCCUGUGACGAAGCGUGAGUGACGGUAAUGGGUAAAGAAGCACCGGCUAACUACGUG